GCUUGAAGCAAGCGGAAGUUGAAGGACCUCACCCAUUUGCUUUUAUCCACGCCAUUUUCGCCAAAGAUCUUCCCUAGCCCCGAGCUAGAGUAUUCGAAUAUGUUGGUUAUUGAGGCCCGAUCUACGAUGUCGUUGCACAGCUUUCGGACUUUUGGAGUGCUUGAUUUAGCGACGCACUGACUGAAACUAACGAUCUGGCGCGGUAUGGCUUGUUUUCCGCUGCAUUAGGC
rnacentral:lncRNA from 1 species